UGCAGUCGAACGGAAAGAGAUGAAAGAGCUUGCUCUUUUAUUAAUUUCAGUGGCAAACGGGUGAGUAACACGUAAACAACCUGCCUUAAGGAUGGGGAUAACAGACGGAAACGACUGCUAAUACCGAAUACGUUCUAAGCAUCGCAUGGUGCAUAGAAGAAAGGGUGGCCUCUACAAGAAAGCUACCGCCUUAAGAGGGGUUUGCGACUGAUUAGGUAGUUGGUGAGGUAACGGCUCACCAAGCCGACGAUCAGUAGCCGGUCUGAGAGGAUGAACGGCCACACUGGAACUGAGACACGGUCCAGACUCCUACGGGAGGCAGCAGUGGGGAAUCUUCCGCAAUGGACGAAAGUCUGACGGAGCAACGCCGCGUGAACGAAGAAGGUCUUCGGAUUGUAAAGUUCUGUGAUUCGGGACGAAAGGGUUUGUGGUGAAUAAUCAUAGACAUUGACGGUACCGAAAAAGCAAGCCACGGCUAACUACGUGCCAGCAGCCGCGGCAAUACGUAGGUGGCAAGCGUUGUCCGGAAUUAUUGGGCGUAAAGCGCGCGCAGGCGGUUUCUUAAGUCCAUCUUAAAAGCGUGGGGCUCAACCCCAUGAGGGGAUGGAAACUGGGAAGCUGGAGUAUCGGAGAGGAAA
rnacentral:rRNA from 1 species